UACGUAGGGUGCGAGCGUUGUCCGGAAUUAUUGGGCGUAAAGGGCUCGUAGGCGGUUUGUCGCGUCGGGAGUGAAAACCUACAGCUUAACUGUGGGCUUGCUUUCGAUACGGGCAGACUAGAGGUAUGCAGGGGAGAACGGAAUUCCUGGUGUAGCGGUGAAAUGCGCAGAUAUCAGGAGGAACACCGGUGGCGAAGGCGGUUCUCUGGGCAUGAUCUGACGCUGAGAAGCGAAAGUGUGGGGAGCGAACAGG
rnacentral:rRNA from 1 species